rnacentral:rRNA from 1 species
ACAUCAAAAAAGCUCUAUGGAAAGCAUGCAUUGCAGUGCACGCUGUGUGGGAUUAACGCGCUUCGGGUUGUAAAGCACUUUUGUCCGGAAAGAAAACCUCCGCCCUAAUAUGGUGGGGGGAUGACGGUACCGGAAGAAUAAGCACCGGCUAACUACGUGCCAGCAGCCGCGGUAAUACGUAGGGUGCAAGCGUUAAUCGGAAUUACUGGGCGUAAAGCGUGCGCAGGCGGUCCGCUAAGACCGAUGUGAAAUCCCCGGGCUUAACCUGGGAACUGCAUUUGUGACUGGCGGGCUAGAGUAUGGCAGAGGGGGGUAGAAUUCCACGUGUAGCAGUGAAAUGCGUAGAGAUGUGGAGGAAUACCGAUGGCGAAGGCAGCCCCCUGGGCCAAUACUGACGCUCAUGCACGAAAGCGUGGGGAGCAAACAGGAUUAGAUACCCUGGUAGUCCACGCCCUAAACGAUGUCAACUAGUUGUUGGGUAUUCAUUUCCUUGGUAACGUAGCUAACGCGUGAAGUUGACCGCCUGGGGAGUACGGUCGCAAGAUUAAAACUCAAAGGAAUUGACGGGAAAAAC